GGAUGAGCCCGCGGCCUAUCAGCUUGUUGGUGAGGUAAUGGCUCACCAAGGCUUCGACGGGUAGCCGGCCUGAGAGGGUGACCGGCCACACUGGGACUGAGACACGGCCCAGACUCCUACGGGAGGCAGCAGUGGGGAAUAUUGCACAAUGGGCGGAAGCCUGAUGCAGCGACGCCGCGUGAGGGAUGACGGCCUUCGGUUUGUAAACCUCUUUCAGCAGGGACGAAGCGCAAGUGACGGUACCUGCAGAAGAAGCACCGGCUAACUACGUGCCAGCAGCCGCGGCCG
rnacentral:rRNA from 1 species